rnacentral:rRNA from 1 species
GAUGAACGCUGGCGGCGUGCCUAACACAUGCAAGUCGAACGGACGGGCGAGAAGCUUGCUUCUCUGAUGUGAGCGGCGGGCGUGUGAGUAACACGUGGAUCACCUACUUAUCAGACUGGGAUAACUUCGAGAAACCGGAGCUUAUAGCGGAGAAUAUUUUGAACCGCAUGGUUCAAUAGUGAAAGACGGUCUUGCGGUCACUUAUAGAUGGAUCCGCGCUGCAUUAGCUAGUUGGUAAGGUAACGGCUUACCAAGGCAACGAUGCAUAGCCGAACGGCGAGGGGGAUCGGCCACACUGGAACGGAGCCACGCACCAGACGCCUAAGGGAGGCAGCAGUAGGGUACCGGCCGCAGUGGGCGAAAGCCUUACGGAGUAAGGCGGAGUGUGUUAUGAAGGCCUUCGGUGCGUAAUACCCUGUUUCGAGUGAAGAACAUAUGUGUAAGUAGCUGUGCACAGCUUGACGGUACCUGAUCAGAAAGCCCCGGCUAACUACGUG